AUUGAACGCUGGCGGCAUGCCUUACACAUGCAAGUCGAACGGCAGCACGGACUUCGGUCUGGUGGCGAGUGGCGAACGGGUGAGUAAUGCAUCGGAACGUGCCAUUGAGUGGGGGAUAACGUAGCGAAAGUUGCGCUAAUACCGCAUAUUCUGUGAGCAGGAAAGCAGGGGACCGCAAGGCCUUGCGCUCUUUGAGCGGCCGAUGUCAGAUUAGCUAGUUGGUGAGGUAAAGGCUUACCAAGGCGACGAUCUGUAGCGGGGUCUGAGAGGAUGAUCCGCCACACUGGAACUGAGACACGGUCCAGACUCCUACGGGAGGCAGCAGUGGGGAAUUUUGGACAAUGGGGGCAACCCUGAUCCAGCCAUGCCGCGUGAGUGAAGAAGGCC
rnacentral:rRNA from 1 species